rnacentral:rRNA from 1 species
CCUACGGGAGGCAGCAGUGAGGAAUAUUGGUCAAUGGGCGCGAGCCUGAACCAGCCAAGUCGCGUGAGGGAAGACGGUCCUAUGGAUUGUAAACCUCUUUUGUCGGGGAGCAAAAGACGCCACGCGUGGCGUUCCGAGAGUACCCGAAGAAAAAGCAUCGGCUAACUCCGUGCCAGCAGCCGCGGUAAUACGGAGGAUGCGAGCGUUAUCCGGAUUUAUUGGGUUUAAAGGGUGCGCAGGCGGAAGAUCAAGUCAGCGGUAAAAUUGAGAGGCACUCGGAAUUCGGGGUGUAGCGGUGAAAUGCGUAGAUAUAGCGAGGAACACCAGUGGAGAAGGCGGAUUGCGGGACAGUAACUGACGCUGAGGCGCGAAAGCGUGGGGAGCAAACAGGAUUAGAUACCCUUGUAGUC